CUCAGGGUACAUGCGGAGGGAUCAUUACACAAUAAACAUAUGAAAGCUGCACCGCCAGUUGGCGGCAAGGCUGGAGUACUUAUUACCCUUGUCUUUUGCGCACUUGUUGUUUCCUGGGCGGGUUCGCCCGCCACCAGGACCACAUGAUAAACCUUUUUUAUGCAGUUGCAAUCAGCGUCAGUACAACAAAUGUAAAUCAUUUACAACUUUCAACAACGGAUCUCUUGGUUCUGGCAUCGAUGAAGAACGCAGCGAAAUGCGAUACGUAGUGUGAAUUGCAGAAUUCAGUGAAUCAUCGAAUCUUUGAACGCACAUUGCGCCCUUUGGUAUUCCAAAGGGCAUGCCUGUUCGAGCGUCAUUUGUACCCUCAAGCUUUGCUUGGUGUUGGGCGUUUUGUCUUUGGUUGCCAAAGACUCGCCUUAAAACGAUUGGCAGCCGGCCUACUGGUUUCGCAGCGCAGCACAUUUUUGCGCUUGCAAUCAGCAAAAGAGGACGGCACUCCAUCAAGACUCUUUAUCACUUUUGACCUCGGAUCAGGUAGGGAUACCCGCUGAACUUAAGCAUAUCAAUAAAGCGGAAGUU
rnacentral:rRNA from 1 species